AUUGAACGCUGGCGGAAUGCUUUACACAUGCAAGUCGAACGGCAGCACGGGGGCAGCCCUGGUGGCGAGUGGCGAACGGGUGAGUAAUACAUCGGAACGUGCCCGGUCGUGGGGGAUAACGUAGCGAAAGUUACGCUAAUACCGCAUACGAUCUGAGGAUGAAAGCGGGGGACCUUCGGGCCUCGCGCGAUCGGAGCGGCCGAUGUCAGAUUAGGUAGUUGGUGGGGUAAAGGCCUACCAAGCCGACGAUCUGUAGCUGGUCUGAGAGGACGACCAGCCACACUGGGACUGAGACACGGCCCAGACUCCUACGGGAGGCAGCAGUGGGGAAUUUUGGACAGUGGGCGCAAGCCUGAUCCAGCCAUUCCGCGUGCAGGACGAAGGCCUUCGGGUUGUAAACUGCUUUUGUACGGAACGAAAAGGCUCUGGCUAAUACCUGGGGCUCAUGACGGUACCGUAAGAAUAAGCACCGGCUAACUACGU
rnacentral:rRNA from 1 species